GACGAACGCUGGCGGCGUGCCUAAUACAUGCAAGUCGAGCGAAGCGGCGGAUGGGUGAGUAACGCGUGGGUAACCUGCCCUUAAGUCCGGGAUACCCUUUGGAAAUAGAUGCCAAUACCGGAUACUAACGGAUGGACCUGCGAUGCAUUAGCUAGUUGGUAAGUUAACGGCUUACCAAGGCGAUGAUGCAUAGCCGAGUUGAGAGACUGAUCGGCCACAUUGGGACUGAAACACGGCCCAAACUCCUACGGGAGGCAGCAGUAGGGAAUCUUACACAAUAGACGAAAGUCUGAUGGAGCAACGGCGCGUGAGUGAAGAAGGUUUUCGGAUCGUAAAGCUCUGUUGUUGGUGAAGCGGUGAUCAACCAGAAAGUCACGGCUGACUACGUGCCAGCAGCCGCGGUAAUAC
rnacentral:rRNA from 1 species